rnacentral:rRNA from 1 species
UGCGUAGGCGGCGCGGUAAGUCGGGUGUGAAAUCUCGGAGCUUAACUCCGAAACUGCAUUCGAUACUGCCGUGCUUGAGGACUGGGGAGGAGACUGGAAUUUACGGUGUAGCGGUGAAAUGCGUAGAUAUCGUAAGGAAGACCAGUGGCGAAGGCGGGUCUCUGGACAGUUCCUGACGCUGAGGCACGAAGUAGGGAGGCAAACGG